UAGGGAAUCUUCGGCAAUGGACGGAAGUCUGACCGAGCAACGCCGCGUGAGUGAAGAAGGCUUUCGGAUCGUAAAGCUCUGUUGUAAGAGAAGAACGAGUGUGAGAGUGGAAAGUUCACACUGUGACGGUAUCUUACCAGAAAGGGACGGCUAACUACGUGCCAGCAGCCGCGGUAAUACGUAGGUCCCGAGCGUUGUCCGGAUUUAUUGGGCGUAAAGCGAGCGCAGGCGGUUAGAUAAGUCUGAAGUUAAAGGCUGUGGCUUAACCAUAGUACGCUUUGGAAACUGUUUAACUUGAGUGCAAGAGGGGAGAGUGGAAUUCCAUGUGUAGCGGUGAAAUGCGUAGAUAUAUGGAGGAACACCGGUGGCGAAAGCGGCUCUCUGGCUUGUAACUGACGCUGAGGCUCGAAAGCGUGGGGAGCAAACAGGAUUAGAUACCCUGGUAGUCCACGCCGUAAACGAUGAGUGCUAGGUGUUAGACCCUUUCCGGGGUUUAGUGCCGCAGCUAACGCAUUAAGCACUCCGCCUGGGGAGUACGACCGCAAGGUUG
rnacentral:rRNA from 1 species